UACGAAGGGUGCAAGCGUUACUCGGAAUUACUGGGCGUAAAGCGUGCGUAGGUGGUUUUUUAAGUCCGUUGUGAAAGCCCUGGGCUCAACCUGGGAAUGGCAGUGGAUACUGGAAAGCUAGAGUGCGGUAGAGGGUAGUGGAAUUCCCGGUGUAGCAGUGAAAUGCGUAGAUAUCAGGAGGAACACCAAUGGCGAAGGCAGCACUCUGGGACGGUACUGACGCUGAGACGCGAAAGCGUGGGGAGCAAACAGG
rnacentral:rRNA from 1 species